UUCAGUCUGUGAUGAGACGUGCAGAGAAACUGUUAUGGAUCCUGCCAAUGAGCUCUUGGUUUGCAAAAUAUGUGGACCCUGUUUAGAUAGGUUGCUGUCAGCUGCUGAAAUGGAGACUGAUGCCGAGCAGCAGCAAGGUGGUGUGACAGAUGAAGCUGAACCAUUCAUGGGACCUGGUCGAUUUGCGGAUUCCACUAGGGAAAUGGCAAUGUCCUAAGUGCCGCUCAAAAAGUGAUUCAGUUGAGCCAAUAAGCCAUCUCGAUUCCAGUUUGAAGCGAGCUCCGACGAAAAUUUGUGGGUCAAAAUCCAAGACAUUGUCUAG